ACUCUUUUUUUUGCUUUGGGUGGAUUGGAACUUUAAAGCCAGUGGUGUUAGCUUUAAGGCUAUUUUAGUGCAGUGGCACAGUUUCAUGAUGUGACACUGCGUUUUGUUGCGCCGUGUCUGACUUUGAAACUAAGUCCUCAGAUGUUGAGCCGUACGAAGGAGAAAUGAAGUCAUGUCAUUGGGACACAUCUAUUAUCAAAGGACUAAUUCCACCCUCCAAACCAAACCAAAAGGAACCAGAAAUGAAACCAUGAAUCUUCUGCAGAUGCACGUUUGCUCUUCUUUAAACACGAUAAAAUGGCGGCCCGCUGUUAGACAUCAUCACCAUUGAUCAAAUAUGUGAUGCUGUUUUAUCUCACCACAGAAGAUCUUCAAUGCGUUUCCUUCGCCGUUGCUUGUUGACAAAGCACGCCGCCAUCGUACUGAAGAGCACGGCCGCUGCCAAGAAGCAGAUGGUCGCCACGAUGCCCGCGACUACUGGCCUGGUCAGCCCAGUUUCUUCCACCAUUUCUGGAGGAGGGAAGAAGUCUGUGGGACCACAGCUGGGUCCAGAUGUAGCUGUGACCUUGCCCUGAUGAAGGUCAUAUAGCUGUGCACAAGACUUUCCUCAAGUCACAAAGACUCAGUGAUCUGAUUUGCUUCCUGUGAGAUGAGGCAGAGACAUGAGAGGCAAAUCCACCAUUCCACUCCAGAGAGAAUCAGGGUUCAUCUGGGGAUCCUUCUUCGUCCAGCGUCGCCACCUGGGGGCCCUCUGUUGGGCAUCAAGGUCAGCACACACAGCAGAUUUCAAGGCCGUCUUCCUCACCUGUACUUGAAACUCCAACUAUGUUGCUCGGCUCGCUGAUCACCUCAUCCAUGACCGCCAUGACGCGGAACUCGUACCAGGCUUCCUACGGAGCACGACAAAACAAGAGUAUGACCAUUCAAAAUCCUCACAGGAAACUGGAUCAACAGGGAGAGAAAAUCCCGAGCUUCCCUUCCCAUUCUGUUCGUACAGUUAUUCAUGUAGAUCAUGCCAUUGUCCAAACAAUUCAUGGGUGUGCUUGUGAGUGAAGGGUUAUUUCAGGUCACCGCGGAUGCU